CUCUGGGAUAAAGACUCUGUUCAUCUACCCUAUCUAUUCCUGAUAGGAUUCGUUGGAUUGACAUCAAGGGUUGACGCUGACAUGGUGGGCCGAAUGGCCUGUUCCUGUGCUGUGUUGUUCUAUCUUCUUUGUUAGCAGGGACUUUGAAAAGGCAGCCAGAUGCACACUUGAAGAGAAAUGGCUGUGUGGACGGAAUGGGACAGUUUGCCAAAGAGCUGCCACAGCCAUGAUGGGCGGAAUGGCCUUCUGCGGUGUCGCUCCAAGACCUCCACCUCUCCAGCCUGCUGUCAGGAAUGUUCUGACCCAGUUCCAGCCAGGACUCCCAUUGGACCGAGUGGCUUUGCACUCUGCUGGCCCUGUUACCCAACGCUGAGGGAUAUUUAGGCUCCGAAUCUCGGCUCUAACCAGUCCAGCACAGUCUGAAGAAGGAUCUCAACCCAUUCCUUCUCUCCAGAGAUGCUGCCUGUCCCGCUGAGCUACUCCAGCGUUUUGUGUCUAUCUUCAACAUCAGAGAGUGUGGCUCUCUGCCAGUUGUGACUGUGGAGGACUCUCGCUAAAAACGCUUACGGAAGGCCGGCUGUAACUGGACAAGAUCUAAGGAAGAAGGUCCUUGGAGCAGUGAGGCUGGAACAUGGAUGGAGAGAGGGUCUUUCGCC